UCAUCGAUAAUUAAUUGAUUACUGUUAAUUCCAAUAAUUAUUCCUUACAAUCAGUGAAGUUUGGCAUUCAACUAAAAAAGUUCCUUUGGAGAUUAAAGAGAAACAAGUAACUCAUUCACAUAACACCCUUUUUUCCCUGCAGGGGUCAUUCACAGAUAUCACUAUCAGUUGUACAUUUUACAAAGCUUAUCAAGAAUUAAGGGAGAAGAAGAUUAAUGAAGAAAAUAAUAGUGGACUUCUUUAUAUGUGAUUACUAUUACAAUGGAGACUCUUUCCACUCUAAUCUGUUCAGCCCAUCAACAAUGGCCUUGCGAAACUCAUCAUUGUGAAGAAGGAAAGAUGAAACAUGGCCUCCAGUAACCCAUCUCACCUCUGAACCUGGCCAGGCCUUUUGAAGCUCCAAAACAGAAUGUUUUGGUAUGUAGCCAUCGUCCUAAAAGACAAAAUUUUAGUUGAAUAAGUUCUAAGAUUGAAUAUGGCCAUAGAGAAUUUAGAAAUAUUUAGUUGUAAAUGCACCAUAAAAUAAACACAACACUCUACAUAUGUUAAAAAGGGUCAAGACUUAGUACAGCAUCAUAUCAUCCUGUGAAGUGCUCAAUGCCUACCUUUUCUGUCAGGCAAUCCAAUCCAUCAAUGGAUCAGCAGGCUAAAUUACUCGAUUUGAAUGGCAAAAAUAUAUACCAGAAAAUUUAUCUUUUCUUAUCCGUGAAAGAGAGGAAGAGAGCGCUAAAAAACCUAUUCAAAUAAUAAUUUGACGAGUUGAUGCAGGAAGAUGGAUAAGUAUUGCUCCAACUAAGUAUACUAUAAUGCAUUUCACUGUAAAUUGAUCCACAUAAUUAGCAGAGAAGUUAUAGCAUACGAAAUGGUGGAUACAUAGUUUAUCUAGUAUUAAUUAAUAGAAGAAAGAGAAUAUAGGGUAGAAAAGAUUGAAUGAAGCAUAAAUCAUUUCUAUACAGUAAUAUCUGUAUGAUAGCACAAUAGUCUGCUUAUCAUAAAAUGAGGUAAAAUGUUAAUCCAAGGAAAAAAAUUUGAAUGAGAAAACCUGAAAUGAAAAUAACCACCAAAUUCUCUUCAGUCUUUCCAAAUAACAUCAAACGGUGAUGCUAAGACAUAUUACUUACAGUUGCAGCAACAAAUAUUACAGCACUGGGAUUCUUAGGAAUUGGAAAGCGCGUGACAUCUGUGAGAGACAAUACAUUUCGCAUCCGUUUUUGCACCUCCUCUAGAGUCAUUGCAGUCUCUUGAACUGCAAGAUCCUUUCUCAGUGCAUCCCAUGCAGUGCCAUGCCUCAAUAUCCCCUCACAGAAUGCCACAACAGCAGAAUGUGGGGAGAGAAAAGGAAGGGUUGCAACGGGUGUGGGGUACAGUGAUCCAACCAUUGCAGCAUGUACUCCCCCCAUGCUAAAUCCACAAACACCCAUCUUGCCAAACCCUGCCUCGAAGUCAAGCCAAUGUAGAAGACUGCGUGUCUCCUCAAUGGUUGCUCUGCCUAAUAAUAGCAAGUCACUAACACACAAGAGUUUUGCACCACGCUGCAGCAUAGGGCGUCUGUGUCCAUAGAAAGGGCUCUCCAGCACCAUGGUUGCAAUGUUUUGCUUCAACAAUGGUGCACCAAGACGCAAUCUUCGUUCAAAUGAAUGAUCUCCAGUGCCUGCAAGAUGAACCACACAAGCCAUCUUUUGUGGAGAGAUGGAUUUCGGUGCAAGAAAAGCAACCCUUGCAGCAUGACUUUCAUGAGGUAAAGCACUAAGGAGCUGCUCAUCGCAAGGGGUCUUAAAGAUCCCUUCUCUUAAAGAAGUAGUUUGGGUCUCCCAAACUGUUCGCCAAAUGGGCUGUAUCGAACUCGGAGUCCAAUUCUGGCUCUCCACUUCAGGGAAUAGCUGCUUGAUCAUUCUCUCCAAGAGCUCAAGCUUUGAGCCACCCCAUCCUCUGGAAAAGAAUGGAGGGCUUAUUUUGGUUCUAUGCAUAAAUCCUCCAUAAAUGUGGUCAAGCACGUAAUGGAGCAUUCCUAGAUUGACUGUCACCAUUUUUUGACAGACACCCAGAAACUCAAACGCACAAAAGGAUUGAACUUUGUCAGAUUUUGGUUCAAUUAAAAGAAACCCAGAAUACAAUGUUCCGCGAAGAGAAAUUAGAGCCACAUUCAAUAUUUUUAAGAGAUACGCACAAAUGCAAACACCAUAAACACGAUAAUUUAGUAUUCCAACGCAAUUAGAUUGAUUUUUUUCAAUCAAAAAAUCAUACAAUCAGAUCUAAGUAAAGGGGAAAAAAAGUUGCCAAAUUUGAAAACCACGGGAAGACACAGAGAACAAAAUCAGAUCUAAUAAAUCAUAGAAAGUGGGAACUAAUACAGGAAACUUGAGUGAAAGAAACAAACAAGACGAAGACUGCACUGUAGGAAUCAAAAGGGCAUUGAAAAAAUUGCAGAAAAUUAUAAGAGAUUAAAGGGGGGAAAAUGGCGUGAGAACUCAAAAAUAAUUAGCUGUGGGCUAAUAAUGAGAGAAUCGAGGGAAGAUCCAAAAGCAUGAAAACGAGAAGAGAGAUGUGUGGAUUUACCAACAGGAUAUUAAAUUGAAAACUGGGGGCUAAGGAUUGAAACAGCCAAAUGACACGGUGGAUUGGGGUCCCACGAGUCAAACUGCCAAUACCCACCACCUUUCGGAUUUGUGUUGUUUCGCUGGUUUUAGUUUUGUUUAUUGGUAGGAUUGACGAUGAUGAUGAUGGCCAAGGGAACCACAGGAUAAGUUUCAAUUAUUCUUUG
rnacentral:misc_RNA from 1 species